UAGCUCUAGGACUGUCAUUUAUUAAUAUUGCUGCAUAUUUUGUAAGUAAAAAGCACAAAUUUACGACAAAGUCUUGACAUUUUAAACAUUUCGUUUUCGUUUUAGGGACUAGAGGUAAUACCAGAGCGAUCGGAGUUGACGUACGUAAACGAAAAAUACUUUUAUAAUUUUACCCUUAACGUAAGGCGAUACAGCAGAGCCAGCCCUUACUACUACAACGUUGAAAUUACGACCAAACAGCCAUGGACUAAUAACGUUACGUUUCUUAUUUUCUUUAAUGAGUAUCUUCACAACGAGUAUCAUCGGUCCUUCUUUCAACUACAGCACAGGUUCUGUGAUAUAAUAAAAAAUGACAAGUUUAUGGGAACUAUGUUCAAAUAUUUCGGCUUAGGUUGCCCCAUGCCAGCUGGUACGCUCCGGUUGAUCAACUUUACAAUUGCAAUGGAUAAAUUUCCAAAUGUGUUUCCAUUUCAAAAAUGUCGCAUUGACACCGAACUAAAAAUCACUGCUACAAAUGAAUCAAUGGCCAUGUUUCAUAAUUACGUUACAUUUAAAGAUACGAAACGUGCUGGAUGAUUGAAUAACUCAUUGCAUUAGCAACAUGUAUAUUUUGUGUUAUUACAGAAGAGGAAAACUUUAUUGAUUAUACAAA